CACAUUUUUCUGUAACCAUUUGUGUGAUAGGACAGUGGAUCUACACUGGUAGUUCUUAUUUACCAAUCACAAUUAUAUGUGGUGGAAGCUCUGAAUCCAAACCACUUAGUUGUAGAGUGAAGCAUCAUGAUUGUGCCCAACUUCAUAAAUGAAUUGUGGUCAUUAAGCAAGUCCCCGCAAACAUUACGUGCGACAACGACUUUCAGCUAUCAGCCAGCUUCCCCAUUGAUUUGUUAAAAGCCAGCUGUUAAAUCCACAAAUAGUGAUCACAUGACCAUUGCAAAUGUACAAUUGUUGCCAAGUGCCCAAAUUACACUCUAGUAACACGGGAAUGCUGCAACAGCCGCAAAUAUGAAGUACAGUCAUAAAUUUUUCUGGCUGUCAUAACAUUGAGCAAUCACUGCAAGGAAGUUGGUAAGCUAGGUCUAUCUGUACCAUUAUUGACCGAGUGAAAAUCGUUGCAAAAUUCAGAGACUUAAUAAUGGAAAACACAGGUGCCGUUUUUGCCUUACAGAAUACAAAAUGCACUCUGGAGUGAAAUGUUCAUUUUUUUCGAAGGUAAGAUCCUUUGAUGAGUACUAAGACUAAGAUACUUAACAUUUAUAUCUUGGGAAUGCACAAAAUAAUAGUGUUCAGGUAUGAAUUGGUCUUCAAUAUGAAUAUAAAACCUAUUAUCAGUUGAAGUGAAUUUCUUUUCUAUGCUAUCCUCCACAUUAAUAAAAUUCAUUCUAGUUUAAAAGAGCUUAGAGAUGGUAUUCCUCACAAUUUCACUUGUGAUUAUUUUUAACGCAGCAAACAUUUUAUUUUUUUCAAACUUAUUAUUUUAAACUUGUUUUAUUUGCCCAAAGCCCCACUGAAAAUUAUUGUAUCAGCUUGUCAAUAUAGAAAUGUUUUUUGGCCAUCUUUGGAUAUUUAGAAAUAAAUAGGUAAAAAAUGUCCAUAAAAUGUUCAUAACAUCUGCAAGCCAUCCAACCAACUUUAUACUUGUCAUAUAUUUUAGUUUGUUAAGGUGAAAAUUCAUAAACUCUUAUCUCUGGUCUCAGAUUAUAAUAAAAAAUACCUAUGAAUCAUUGAACAAUGUGUAUUUUUAAUCUCGCUAUAAAAUCAAACUUCUUAUAAAAAGUGUUUCUCAAUAGUUUCAAGAUAUUCUAUAAAAAUGUAAAUGGAAGCUGUUUUAUCAAAAUAACAGAAUAACACUAUUAUUUAGUACAGGUUUAAUUGGCAAUGAUGUACCGUUGAGAUAUUGCAAUGUUUUCAAUUGACACAAUCACCUUUGUUUAUUCUGCUUUACGUUUGAGUUUGCUAAACAUUGCUCCGCUAUUAUUGUAUCCAUUAAUGUUUUGAAAAAAAUUAUGAAAUGCAUAAUAGCAAGGAUCAGAAUUGCCAAACUUUUAGAUGCAGAAAUAAGCUGUGUCAAAUACUGACCUUUUAAGUGAUUCCUUAAAAAAAUGAUAAUGGAGAAAAACAGGACACUGCUGCUGAAUUAAAAUUUGAGGCAAAUUAAAUUGACCUGAUUUUGGCAUUUGAGAAAGGUUAAAAUAAUUGUAGUACAAGUAAGAGAAAGUU